rnacentral:rRNA from 1 species
UACAAGUACCCGUGAGGGAAAGUUGCAAAGCACUUUGAAGAGAGAGUUAAAGAGGACGUGAAACCGGUAGGAUGGAAACGGAUAGAGCUAGCGAAGUCGCCUGUAUUCAGCCAAAGACCCGGGGCUUCCCGCUGUCGUGUUUCUCAACGAGCAUGGCGGUGGUGCUUGCCCUGGGCCGAGGUGCAUUUGCAGGUGUUUGCGCUGAGACUUGCGAGGCAGCUUCGGGACCGGCGCCUAGAGGCUUCCCUCUGGGUUGAACCUGGGCGCCGUUACAGUUGUUUGCCCUGCUCGUACUGGUCCGGCCAACGAACCUGUCCGGUUCCGCUGUCAACUGGCCAAGGCAUCGCAUGCGAUGUCUAGUCUGGGGGCUGUGGGAUCGGGCUGUGUUCCCGGACCGCCUCUCGGUGUAGAAGCUGGUCAUCUCUCCGACCCGUCUUGAAACACGGACCAAGGAGUUUAGCGUAUGCGCGAGUCAUUGGGUGCACAAACCCACAGGCGCAAUGAAAGUAAAGGCUCGGUCGCCGGGCUGACAUGCGAGUGCCGCGGCUUCGGCCCAGGCAUGCAGCAUGGUCCCGUUGCAGCCGCUUGCGGCGCAGCGGAGACAGAGCGUAUGCGCUGAGACCCGAAAGAUGGUGAACUAUUCCUGAGCAGGACGAAGCCAGAGGAAACUCUGGUGGAAGUCCGAAGCGAUUCUGACGUGCAAAUCGAUCGUCUGACUUGGGUAUAGGGGCGAAAGACUAAUCGAACCAUCUAGUAGCUGGUUCC